rnacentral:rRNA from 1 species
CAUCAGUCCCUCCGAUCAGACGGCUUGGGACGCGGGGCCGUGCCCUGCGUCAAAACGAGUAGGAGCCGCGCAACGACCGUUUCCGGGUGCGCGGCGGUGAUCGUGACGAACGCGCCCGAUGGGCCGUUCAUCACGGAGAAUCCAUGUUUGUUCUGAGAGCGCUUCACGCAGCCCUCGCGAUCGGCGCGCGCUCGUCGCACGCCCAGUGCGAGCGCGCGCACCCGAGCGUCGGCGCGAAGAGGUCGCGCAGCGGCGUCGGGUACGGCAGCGCGCGCACGCCGCGCACCGCGCGCUUGCCCACACGCGUGAGCGGAAACAGAAACUUGUGAUUCCCGCCGUGGCGCAUCGGGCGCGUCACGCGCGCGAGCUCGCGGCGCAGCCAUUCCCGCGUGUCUUCGUUGUAGGUCGGUGCGACGGCGCCGUGCUCAACGAGCGUGUCCACCGCGGCGCGCCAGCCGCCCCGCUUGACCGCGCAGGGCGUACGGCACGAUCCUCGGCACGCCGGCCUUGUCGCAGAUCUUCUUCACCGCGCGCUGCAGCCACGCUUCCAGCUUGCGCACCGCCGGCGGCGGGAAGAGGGGCUCCUGCGGCGCGCGGCCUUCGACCAGGCGCAGCAGGUACGGGGUCAGCGACCUACGUUAUGUUGCGAGCUUAACCGAAUAGGGGAGGCGUAGCGAAAGCGAGUCUGAUAAGGGCGUUUAGUAGCACGGCGUAGACCCGAAACCGGAUGAUCUAUCCAUGGCCAGGAUGAAGGUGCCGUAACAGGUACUGGAGGUCCGAACCCACUAAUGUUGAAAAAUUAGGGGAUGAGCUGUGGAUAGGGGUGAAAGGCUAAACAAAUCCGGAAAUAGCUGGUUCUCCCCGAAAACUAUUUAGGUAGUGCGUCUUGUAUCACUGACGGGGGUAAAGCACUGUUAUGGCUAGGGGGUCAUCGCGACUUACCAAACCAUGGCAAACUCUGAAUACCGUCAAGUGCGAGCAAGGCAGACAGACAGUGGGUGCUAACGUCCAUUGUCAAGAGGGAAACAACCCAGACCGCCAGCUAAGGUCCCCAAGACACAGUUAAGUGGGAAACGAGGUGGGAAGGCAUAGACAGCUAGGAGGUUGGCUUAGAAGCAGCCAUCCUUUAAAGAAAGCGUAAUAGCUCACUAGUCGAGUCGUCCUGCGCGGAAGAUGUAACGGGGCUCAAACUGUGCACCGAAGCUGCGGAUAUCGAAAGAUAUGGUAGGGGAGCGUUCUGUAGGUCUGUGAAGGUGUCUUGAGAAGGAUGCUGGAGAUAUCAGAAGUGCGAAUGCUGACAUGAGUAGCGAUAAAGGGAGUGAAAAGCUCCCUCGCCGAAAGCCCAAGGUUUCCUACGCAACGUUCAUCGGCGUAGGGUGAGUCGGCCCCUAAGGCGAGGCAGAAAUGCGUAGUCGAUGGGAAACAGGUCAAUAUUCCUGUACCGAUUCUAGAUGCGAUGUGGGGACGGAGAAGGUUAGGUCAGCCAACUGUUGGAAUAGUUGGUUUAAGCGUGUAGGCGUGCCCCUUAGGCAAAUCCGGGGGGCUUAGCUGAGGCGUGAUGACGAGGCACUACGGUGCUGAAGUGAUUGAUACCAAGCUUCCAGGAAAAGCCACUAAGCUUCAGUCUAGAAUUGACCGUACCGCAAACCGACACAGGUGGGCAGGAUGAAAAUUCUAAGGCGCUUGAGAGAACUCAGGAGAAGGAACUCGGCAAAUUAACACCGUAACUUCGGGAGAAGGUGUGCCCCGGUAGGUUGUAGAGCCUCGCGCUCGAAGGCCGAUGGGGUUGCAGUGAAAUGGUGGCUGCGACUGUUUAAUAAAAACACAGCACUCUGCAAACACGAAAGUGGACGUAUAGGGUGUGACGCCUGCCCGGUGCCGGAAGGUUAAUUGAUGGGGUGCAAGCUCUUGAUCGAAGCCCCGGUAAACGGCGGCCGUAACUAUAACGGUCCUAAGGUAGCGAAAUUCCUUGUCGGGUAAGUUCCGACCUGCACGAAUGGCGUAACGAUGGCCACACUGUCUCCUCCUGAGACUCAGCGAAGUUGAAAUGUUUGUGAAGAUGCAAUC